CAAAGAGAUUGCUUGAUGUUGUGGAUAACUUGGGAAGAGCUUCUUCUGUUGUUAAAGGUAGAAAGGAUUCAAGUGGAGCCAUACCUUUUCUAAAAACCCUUCCAGAAGUGGCCGGUAUGACCGAGAAACAGCUUAUGGAGGUAUUUAAGUAAGUCCAGGGUCGAGAAAUUUGAGCCUACCAAAUGAACCAUUUGAUCCGCAUAAGCAUUAUGCUGUAUUUUAGACACUGGAUGGUCUAAACCAGAAAGCACUGUGGCUAGUUUCCUCAAGUCUGGAUAUACGCUACAUGAUCAAGUUCUAUGACCAGCCAAGGUUGGUAUGACUCAAAAUAUGGAAGAUAUUUCAACCAAUUAAUGUCUAAAAAGAUGGAGGCUGCUAUGGAAUAAUCCCAAGAAUAUGGUUGUUGUGGCUGUCAUUGGUCUGUUCAAGUUCUUCCAAUUCAAUCAGGUUUUGGAGUUGGGGACGUCAAGAAAAGGAUAUUUGCCAAAGGUGUGAGGGUAGGGACUUCGCUAACUACAUCCACAGGAAUAAAAUGGAAGUCCAAGACUACUGCACAAAAGUUCAUUUUGAUGUUAUUUUGAG